UGGGGAAUUCUGGACAAUGGGCGCAAGCCUGAUCCAGCCAUGCCGCGUGCGGGAAGAAGGCCUUCGGGUUGUAAACCGCUUUUGUCAGGGAAGAAAUCCUUUGAGCUAAUACCUCGGGGGGAUGACGGUACCUGAAGAAUAAGCACCGGCUAACUACGUGCCAGCAGCCGCGGUAAUACGUAGGGUGCAAGCGUUAAUCGGAAUUACUGGGCGUAAAGCGUGGGCAGGCGGUUAUGCAAGACAGAUGUGAAAUCCGCCGGCUCAACCGGAGAACUGCACUUGAAACUGCAUAGCUGGAGUACGGUAGAGGGAGAUGGAAUUCCGCGUGUAGAAGUGAAAUGCGUAGAUAUGCGGAGGAACACCGAUGGCGAAGGCAAUCCCCUGGGCCUGCACUGACGCUCAUGCACGAAAGCGUGGGGAGCAAACA
rnacentral:rRNA from 1 species